UCUCAACCAUUAAUUCUUCCUGAAUGCGAUUUCUUCAUAGUUUUCUAACAUGGAACAGGUCUGCUGCUGUUUUCAACGAUUCGCUAUCCUUCGUCAAUCAGAAGAACAGAUGAUUGGUUGUGGAGAUAUCGUUUAUUUGCAUAAAAUGAAGCUCAGGGAUCCGAUCUAACGAAGAACACGAGUAGUUUCUGAUGGAGUUCCCCUUUCCAACUUCAAAUUUCAUGAUUACGACUUCAUUUAGGUGAGAAUUAAUGUAUUUUUAUUGGUGGAAUUAAUAAUUUGCCAGACCCAUUCGUGAUUGAAUUCAAAAAAGAGGGUCUGUAGUUGAUCAUUAUGAAUGGAUACAAUUUGUUUGAUUGUCUUUUAAAAUGGGAUUUGAAUUCCACUGGAAUGUUCAAUUCGCUUUCCUGA